CCGAGAUUGAGCCACUGCACUCCAGCCUGGGCAACAGAGCAACACUCUGUCUCAAAAAAACAAAACACAACAAAACAAACCCACAAAUAUGUUAUCUUACAGUUCUAUAGACCAGAAGUCCAACACAGGUCUCACCAGGCUAAAAUCAAGCUGUUAACAGGGCUGCUUCCUCACUGGGAGCUUUAGAUGGGAAUCUGUUUCCUGCUCAUUAGGUUUAUUCACAGACUUUAGGGCCAUGCAGUUGUAGAACUGAGGUCCCCUUUCCCUUGUAGUUGGCUGGUGGUUCCCUUCCUCCAUUUUCAAAGCCUGCAAUGGAGGGACAGGCUCUUUUCAUGUCACAUUCCUCUGACCCAUUCUUCUGUCUUCCUCUUCUACUGCUGACAAUUCAUGUGAUUAGACUGGGCUCCCCUGGAUAAUCCAGGAUACUCUCCUCAUCUCAAAGUCCAUACCCUAAGCACAUGUACAAAGUCCCCUUUGCUAUGUAAGGUAACAUAUUCACAGGUUCCAAGGAUUAGGAUGUGAACAUCUUUGAGGAACCAUCAUUCUGUCCACCACAAGGGCUUUGAGCAAUGGAGCAACUGCUCACUCUGCAGCCAAGAAUGUGUCAGUCUAGUUGCUCUGUUGAAAAUAGUUGGGAGUGGGAGGAGGAAGGCCAGGGAGGAUAGGGCAAGAAGCAGGAAGCUGGUGUAGAGGCUAACACGAUAAUUCAGGGGACAAAUAAUGGUAGUUUCAACCAAGGUGGGGGGUGACUCUGGAAGAGUCAAGGCUAGAUAAGGUGACAAUAGGUUUUAGGUGUCAAGUUGGCUAAGCUACAGUCCUCAGUUAUUCAGUCAAACACUAAUCUGGGUGUUGCUGUGAAGACAUUUUACGGACAUGAUUAAAGUCCCUCAUCAACUGACUUUCAGCCAGGGAGAUAAUCCUAGAUUGAAGGUGGGCCUGAUCCAAUCCAUUGAAAGGCCCUAGAAGAGCUGAGCGUUCCCUGAUGAAGAAAUUCUGCCUGUGGAUGGCAAUUCCGCUCAUGCCCAGGAGUUCCAACCUGCUCUUUCUGACGGUGUGCCCUAUGGAUUUCCCACUGGCCUAACCAGCCCCAUGAUUAUGUGAGGCAGGAGAAUCGGGCCUGGAGGCAGGGAACCUCAGGGCUUCCUAGAACUAAAUCAAAUGGAAACACUUCAGCUAUGACAGGAACUACACUCGUCAUUUACAUAGAAUGUACACCAAAUACAUAACUUUGUAACCUCACUUUAGCCUCUUCAUUUACAUAGGGCGUACACCAAGUAACCAAUGGAAACCUCUAGAUGGUAUUUAAACCCCAGAAAAUUCUGUAACCGGGCUCUUAAGCCCCUAUGCUCAGCCGCUCCCACCCUGUGGAGUGUACUUUUGUUUUCUAUAAAUCUCUGCUUUUGUUGCUUCAUUCUUUCCUUGGUUUGUUUGUGUGUUUUGUCCAAUUCUUCGUUCAAGAUGCCAAGAACCUGGACACCCCCAACUGGUAACAUAUGUAGGGCAAUUCCUCUUAAUAUGACUCUCCUACUGGUUCAGUUUCUCUGGUUGAACCCUGACUGAUACAUCCUGAAUAAGUUUGAAUGUGGAGCUGACCGGCUAAGCUAGUGUAUUGGAAGUGGGAUGUGAGAAAGUGGAGUCCAGGAUGAUGCCAAAGUUUUUGCCCCGAGCAGCCAGAAGGAUGGCUUAGGUAUCUCCUUCUAAGGUAGGAAUCACGAAUGCAAAAGCCACCUACAAAAGCCUGUUCAAGGGAUGGCAAAGGAAGAUGCCCAGUUUCCCCCAAGGAAGCCCUUUCAGACGGGGGAUGUGUAUAGGCAGGAAUGGGUUGGAGUGGCUGGCCAGCCCUGAUGUGGGCAAGCUCCAAUUUAAGGGGGUGAAAUAGGUAAUAAAGUCACUGCUGUGCUCCAUGCCACUCAUCCAGAAACACUAGUGGUUUUCCAGUGCAUUCUGGAAUCCUCAGGAAAUCUGGAGAUCUUUUUACUGUUCUCUGCUGUGAACCCCACCUCCCCUGCUGCUGUGUGCUCUGGGAAUGAGUUAGCUGAACCCUGAGCCAAAAACCAACAAGGAGUGCUGAAUAGAGACUUUAUGGAGUUGCUCUGUGGGCUUUUUUUCUUGUGAAGGAACAGGGUGUGCUUGAAAGUAAAAAGUGAGUUAUUUGGUGUUGUUGUUGUUGUUAUUGUUGUUUAAAUCUUCCUGGAAGGCAGAAAGAAAGAGAUAAAAAGGAAAAAACAGCAUUUGUCACUUAUAGUGCUCUGGUUAGCACAGUAGCUGGGCCCCUGAACCCUCUACAGGCCUCCCAAGCUGGCACUGAAUAAAAUGUGAGAAAUGAAAGGAACUUUUCCGUGAGUCUGGCAGCGCCGACAGACACUGAGGUGGCAGAGCUGUCUGGUCCCAGUCCACAUGCAGAGGCCUGCAGCUCCUCCUUCCAGCCCGCACCCACCAGAGCUUCUCAGACGGGCCGUGUCCUGAGAAGGUUGUUGCCAAUGUAGAUGUUUGAGAGGCUCACUGAUGAACAAAUCAACAGAGCAGAUUUAAUCUGAAGAGAUCCAAAUAUUGUGCUUCUUUGGACUCAUAGAAAUGGCGAAAGAUUUAACAUCAGGAAGUACUUAAGUCAGCUAAUUUCUAGAGCCUUCUUCCUCCCUGUCACUUGAUUCUAGAUAGGAUCACCAGUUAGACAUCAGAACCAGAUCUUUUUAUCCAGAGAAGUACCAGUUUGUUGUUUUUCCUUCCGAAGCCAAGUCCUCGAGUUUCAGGUAGACUUCAGUUGAUUUCUGCGAGGUCUUUGCUUUCUCUCUGCCAGAAUAAUCACUGCUGAGGAAAGCAAAAAGCCCCGAAGAGCCUGGCUUGGAAUAAAAACAUGCACCAUACAAGAUUUUUAUGAAGAUUAAAUAACUUGGGCUAAAAUAUUCUGGAAGCUGCCAAGGGCUCUACAGAUGAGCUAUACAGAGGCAUUUGCUGAAAACUGGCCUGGAUUGACAAGCGCAAUGCAAACGUGGCUGCGGCAGUUCCAGGCAUCACAUGGUAACAAGAUCACAUCCAGUGAAGAAGGAAUUCUCAUAAGACAGUCAGCAGAUUUUGCAGGUUUUCAACUGAUUGGAUGAGGUUCACCUACAUUAUGGAGGACAGUCUGCUUUACUCAAAGUCCAUCAAUGUAAAUUCCUGCAAGGUGGAUAUCACUCUCACCUUCAGCGCACAAAGAAAGGAGGUAUACAGAAGACACAGAACUCACCAAAGUCACAGGAACUAGGUGCCCCAGUGUGUGUUGUUCCCCUCCCUCUGUUCUCAUUGUUCAGCUCCCACUUAUAAGUGAGAACAUGUGGUGUUUGGUUUUCUGUUCCUGCGUCAGUUUGCUGAGGAUAACAGCUUCCAGCUCCAACUAUGUCCCUGCAAAGGACAUGAUCUGAUUCCUUGUUAUGGCUGCAUAGUAUUCCAUGGUGUAUAUGUAACACAUUUUCUUUAUCCAGUCUAUUGUUGAUGCACAUUUGGGUUGAUUCCAUGCCUUUGCUAUUGUAAAUAGUGUUGCAAUGAACAUACAUCUUUAUAUAUGAAUAUAUGUAUCUUUAUAAUAGAAUGAUCUAUAUUCCUUUGGGUAUAUGCGCAGUAAUAAGAUUGCUGGGUCAAAUGGUAUUUCCGCUUCUAGAUCUUUGAGGAAUCGCCACACUGUCUUUCACCAUGGUUGAACUAAUUUACAUUCCCACCAACAGUGUAAAAACGUUCCUUUUUCUCCACAACUUUGCCAACAUCUGCAGUUUCUUGACUUUUUAAUAAUUGCCAUUCUGACUGGCAUGAGAUGGUAUCUCAUUUUGGUUUUGAUUUGCAUUUCUCUGAUGAUCAGUGAUGUUGAGCUUUUUUUUUUUUUUUUUUUUUUUUGAGACGGAGUCUUGCUCUGUCACCCAGGCUGGAGUGCAGUGGCACAAUCUCGGCUCACUGCAACCUCUGAGCCCCCCUCCCUCGGGUUCAAGUGAUUCUCCUGCCUCAGCCUCUUGAGUAGCUGGGAUGACAGGUGCCUGCCACCGUGCCCAGCUAAUUUUUGUAUUUUUAGUAGAGACGGGGUUUCACCAUCUUGGCCAGACUGGUCUUGAACUCCUGACCUCGUGAUCCACCCGCCUCGGCCUUCCAAAGUGCUGGGAUUACAGGCAUGAGCCACUGCGCCUGGCCUGAGCUUUUUUUUAAUGUUUGUUGGCCGCAUUAAUGUUUUAUUCUGAGAAGUGUCUGUUCAUGUCCUUUAGGGCAGCAGCUUUAAACAACUCAUACAGAAAGUUCAAUAUCUUAACUUCCAGUGUGGCAGGAUGGGUGUGCCCUGGGUGAAUACCAGAACUGGUUGUCAUUUUUCAGUGUUUCCUGAUCAACCUGUGGACAAAACAAACUGAUUUUUAAGGACAUUCUCAUUGUUUAAUGUUAUAUUGAUUUUAAAAAUAUAUUUUAUUAUUAAUACCAUGUUUAAAUUGUUUUUUAAAAAGACUUAAGGCAGCUUGUAGUUUAAAAAAACCCUUACAAAUAAAGUCAUUA
rnacentral:lncRNA from 10 species